rnacentral:rRNA from 1 species
UACGUAGGGUGCAAGCGUUGUUCGGAAUCACUGGGCGUAAAGGGAGCGUAGGCGGAAUUGUAAGUCAGGAGUUUAAUACGCGGGCUCAACCCGCGGCUUGCUCUUGAGACUGCAUUUCUUGAGUAUGGGAGAGGGUGAUGGAAUUCCAGGUGUAGCGGUGGAAUGCGUAGAUAUCUGGAAGAACACCAGUAGCGAAGGCGGUCGCCUGGCCCAAUACUGACGCUGAGGCUCGAAAGCUAGGGGAGCAAACAGG